UACUUUUGAACACAUUAGACAAUUAAACUUUUCGAAUAUAUUUGUGUGAAGGUUUGGAGAUGGUGGCCAAGAUGUCUUUCAUACAAUUUUUUGCCUUGUUCCUUAUCAUUUCAGGUGUUUCAAUGAUAAGGGAAGUGGUUGGAGUUAAAAACUCAUUGUGUGAGAAGGUGGUGGAAUAUGGUGAUUGUGACUUCAAUGGGUGUGCGGUGUUAUGUCAAUAUAUGUUUAAUAGCAGCAUUUUGAUCGCCUCAGAGUGUGUUAUUGCACAGUAUAAACAAUGUGUUUGUUUCUAUCAUUGCUAAUUAACUAAAAACUAAUUUUAAUAUGUCA